AAUAUAUCCAGAGGGAAUUUUCUUGUCAACUCCUUGUAUCUCUCCCAUGCCUCAUAAAGGGUUUUCCCAUCUUGUUGUCUAAAUGUUUACACCUUAGCCCUCAACAU